rnacentral:rRNA from 1 species
CUAAAAGAGAAGCAAAGCCGCGAGGUAGAGCAAAUCUCAAAAAAAACAUCUCAGUUCAGACUGCAGGCUGCAACUCGCCUGCACGAAGUCGGAAUUGCUAGUAAUCGUAGGUCAGCAUACUACGGUGAAUACGUUCCCGGGCCUUGUACACACCGCCCGUCAAACCAUGAGAGUUGGCAACGCCCGAAGUCGGUAGUCUAACCGCAAGGAGGACGCCGCCGAAGGUGGGGUUGAUGAUUAGGGUUAAGUCGUAACAAGGUAUC